rnacentral:snRNA from 1 species
AUUUAAAACAGGUAAAGUAUGUGUUCACUUCGGCAGGACAUACAAGAGAAGAUUAGCAUAGCCCCUGCACAGGGAUGACACACAAAUUCAUGAACCAUUCCAUAUUUUU